rnacentral:rRNA from 1 species
AACGAACGCUGGCGGCAUGCCUAACACAUGCAAGUCGAACGAGACCUUCGGGUCUUGUGUCGCACGGGUGCGUAACGCGUGGGAACCUUCCCUUAGGUUCGGAAUAACUCCCCGACAGGGGUGCUAAUACCGGAUAAUGUCUUCUGACCAAAGAUUUAUCGCCUUUGGAUGGGCCCGCGUUGGAUUAGCUAGUUGGUAGGGUAAAAGCCUACCAAGGCGACGAUCCAUAGCUGGUCUGAGAGGAUGAUCAGCCACACUGGGACUGAGACACGGCCCAGACUCCUACGGGAGGCGGCAGUGGGGGAUAUUGGAACAUGGGCGGAAGCAUGAUGCAGCAAUGACGGGUGAGUGAUGAAGGCCUUAGGGAUGUAAAGCUUUUUUAACCGGGAUGAUAAUGACGGUACCGGGAGAAUAAGCCCCGGCUAACUACGUG